AGUGAAGAAGGCCUAUCGGGUUGUAAAGCUCUUGCGGCGGGGAAGAAAUGCGGUGCUUAAUACCGUGAUGUGGAUGACGGUACCCGAAUAAGAAGCACCGGCUAACUACGUGCCAGCAGCCGCGGUAAUACGUAGGGUGCGAGCGUUAAUCGGAAUUACUGGGCGUAAAGCGUGCGCAGGCGGUUUCGUAAGACAGACGUGAAAUCCCCGGGCUCAACCUGGGAACUGCGUUUGUGACUGCAAGGCUAGAGUUUGGCAGAGGGGGGUGGAAUUCCACGUGUAGCAGUGAAAUGCGUAGAGAUGUGGAGGAACACCGAUGGCGAAGGCAUUUCCCUGGGCCAAUACUGACGCUCAUGCACGAAAGCGUGGGGAGCAAACAGGAUUAGAUACCCUGGUAGUCCACGCCCUAAACGAUGUCAACUAGGUGUUAGGGAGGGUUAAACCUCUUAGUGCCGUCGCUCACGCG
rnacentral:rRNA from 1 species